rnacentral:rRNA from 1 species
GAUGAACGCUGGCGGCGUGCCUAAUACAUGCCAGUCGAGCGAACGGACGAUAAGCUUGCUUCUCUGAUGUUAGCGGCGGACGGGUGAGUAACGCGUGGAUCACCUACCUAUAAGUCUGGGAUAACUUCGGGAAACCGUGGAUAAUACCGGAUAAUAUUUUGAACCGCAUGGUGCAAAAGUGAAAGACGGUCUUGGUGUCACUUAUAGAUGGUUCCGCGCUGCAUUAGCUAGUUGGUAAGGUAACGGCUUACCAAGGCUACGAUGCAUAGCCGAGCUGAGAGGGUGAUCGGCCACACUGGAACUGAGACACGGUCCAGACUCCUACGGGAGGCAGCAGUCGGGAAUCUUCGGCAAUGGGCGAAAGCCUGACGGAGCAACGCCGCGUGAGUGAUGAAGGCCUUCGGAUCGUAAAGCUCUGUUAUUGGGGAAGAACAUCUGUGUAAGUAACUGUGCACAUCUUGACGGUACCUAAUCAGAAAGCCACGGCUAACUACGUG